rnacentral:snRNA from 1 species
UGUCCUCCACAGGAGGUCUAUAUUGAGCAGAUUCUUUUUGGCGUUGGGUGGUGGAACGGGAGCUUGCUCCAUCCACUCCAUGCAUUGACCUGGUAUUGCAGUGCUUCCAGGACCGGUGC